UUAUCGUACUAAAAUAUUUUUGAUGACCAAUAUUUCAUCAAAAAUAAUUUCAUCACUAAUAAUUUAAUCAUAUUAUUUAAAAAAUAAUAUAUGAAUAUAUUUUUUUAAUUUAUAUCUAUAAUAUUUUUUAUAAAUGAAAAAAAUUAAAAUAAAAAAUUUAUAGAAUAAAUAGAUAAAUAAAUUUUAUUAUUAUAUUAUAUUAUAUUAAAUUAAAAUUAUAAGAGAUCUCAAAUAAAAAUAAAAAAUACAUGAAGAAGCUAUCAAGUGUCGGCAUCUGGAGAACG
rnacentral:lncRNA from 1 species